CCGGUCAAUUAACAAAAAAUAUUACUGAAUGCGUAAUUAGGACGUGUAUAAUUUAUGCAUUCAGUACUAAGACAAUAAUGAGAUGAUAAACCUCACUAAGCUUCGGCCUUCAUUAUCUAUUGUCUUAGUUGCAUUUCACGCGACCGAAAUUCAAUGUCUAAAACAAGUCUUACGGAGUUACGCAUUAUUACGUUCAGCAAAGUGCCAGUCCAUUCAAAUUCUAACAACAUUAGAUUACUUCAAUACAGGGUGUAUAAAAAGAACGCAACCUCGGAAUUUCCCAAG